CCGACGACUGUUGCUUCAGCUCCUUCAGACGCUGAACCGCCUUCGCGAGCAGCGAAGCUUUGUCCGUCUGUGGAAAUUUUCAACACUGUUUUAUCAGAAUCCGAGACAUGGAAAACGAUUCGAAAACCCUAAUUUGAGAAAAAAGAUUCACGGUCGUCGGACGAUCUCCAAAUCAAAAUUGAGCUCAGGAACAGGAAUCUAGAGAGAGAGAGAGAGAGGGAUUAAAGUACCUUGGAAUUGCAGGAAAGGAGGCUUCGGAGCUUGUUGAGAUGCGAAUUGAUUCUCUCGCGGCGGCGUCGCUCGGCUUCCUUGUGAUUCUUGGAGGCCGCGAUGGCUCGGGCCUGAGCCGGAGCCUGCGCCUGCGCCAGUCGAAUGUCUGUACUUCCUGCCGGCAUCUCCUGGCGAGAAUAGAAGGGGGAAGUACAAAGGCUGUGGGUGGGCGGGAAAUCGUAAUUCGCCUGAACGCCGUACAUUCCGACGUUGGCGACUCCAUUUCCAGCGACAAAGGGGAAGGACUCAGUCGUCUGGAGGCAGGUUUCAGGCUGCAUCAUAACGUUUUCAGUCAGAGAAGUGUUAGUGGGGAAGUAUUUGGAGCAAUAGGGUUCUGCUUUGGAGCAUGUCGCUUCCGAUAUGAUUGGCAUCAAAAGCAAGCUCAAGUAGAUACCAAAAUCUAAGACAUUCACACCGUGCGAUUUUUUAAAUUUAUUGCUUUAAUUUAUGUGGAAAAAAAAAAAAAAGAAAACUUUUUCAUGCACGAGAUAGAUUUAUAUGUGACGACCUUAAUAUUAUUCCAUUUUUGAAAAGCCUAUUAUUUCACCAAAGAGUACUUAGAUUUAUUGAAAUAUAGUAAUUAAUUUGAUCAAUAUUUUGGUCAAAUUAAUUAAGUGAAAUAGUGUUUGUUUUGAUUGAA